rnacentral:rRNA from 1 species
GACGAACGCUGGCGGCGUGCUUAACACAUGCAAGUCGAACGGAAAGGCCCCUUCGGGGGUACUCGAGUGGCGAACGGGUGAGUAACACGUGAGUAGCCUGCCCUUGACUUCGGGAUAACUUCAGGAAACUGGGGCUAAUACCGGAUAGGAAUCCUUGCUGCAUGGUGGGGGUUGGAAAGCUUCGGCGGUUUUGGAUGGACUCGCGGCUUAUCAGCUUGUUGGUGGGGUAGUGGCUUACCAAGGCUUUGACGGGUAGCCGGCCUGAGAGGGCGACCGGCCACAUUGGGACUGAGAUACGGCCCAGACUCCUACGGGAGGCAGCAGUGGGGAAUAUUGCACAAUGGGCGGAAGCCUGAUGCAGCAACGCCGCGUGCGGGAUGACGGCCUUCGGGUUGUAAACCGCUUUCAGCAGGGGCGAAGCUUGUGGUGACGGUACCUGCAGAAGAAGCACCGGCUAACUACGUG